UACGGGAGGCAGCAGUGGGGAAUAUUGCACAAUGGGCGCAAGCCUGAUGCAGCCAUGCCGCGUGUAUGAAGAAGGCCUUCGGGUUGUAAAGUACUUUCAGUCGUGAGGAAGGUGUUAAGGUUAAUAACCUUAGCAAUUGACGUUAGCGACAGAAGAAGCACCGGCUAACUCCGUGCCAGCAGCCGCGGUAAUACGGAGGGUGCGAGCGUUAAUCGGAAUUACUGGGCGUAAAGGGCACGCAGGCGGUUAAUUAAGUUGGAUGUGAAAUCCCCGGGCUUAACCUGGGAAUGGCAUUCAAGACUGGUUAGCUAGAGUCUUGUAGAGGGGGUAGAAUUCCAUGUGUAGCGGUGAAAUGCGUAGAGAUGUGGAGGAAUACCGGUGGCGAAGGCGGCCCCUGGCAAAGGACUGACGCUCAUGUGCGAAAGCGUGGGGAGCGAAACAGGGAUUAGAUA
rnacentral:rRNA from 1 species